GAAAUGCGAUAAGUAAUGUGAAUUGCAGAAUCCAGUGAAUCAUCGAAACCUUGAACGCAAAUUGCGCUUGGAGGAUCUCCUCCAAGCAUGCCUGUUGGAGCGUGGGUUCACCAAUCCAAACGCAUCGAAAAAGGUGCGAGUUGGGACAUGGGGAAGUCGGGGCAAUGAUGCCUCGUCCCCCGAAAUGAAUGGGCAUAAACCCGUGCGAUUAGAUCCGAGCCGUAUGCCGAGCUGCGUCCUAUGGACAUACCGGCGCCUGGCAUGGAUCGAAAGCCGGUUCCUUUAUGCAAAGGAAAAAAGGGACCUACUAUGGAUGGUAGGAAGUACAAGACUUUCCACCUCCAAUCAGGCGAGUUUACCCGCUGAAUUUAA
rnacentral:misc_RNA from 1 species